AUACAUCACUGGCAGGGGAGAUACCAUGAUCAAGAAGGCAGUUUUCCCAGGGUAAGCUUAUCCAUUGCACUCCGGAUGUGCUGACACCUGGGACUACCCCAAAUGUGGGGAACUUGACUGCAUAAUUUGGGGAGGCGGGGAGAAAAAAAGUAUGGCCCAUGGGCCCCAG